CAGGAUCUGUUCUAUACGUGCUUAGUGAAGUAAUGCAUUUCCGAGCGAUAAAUUGCAAAUCAAGGGAAUUACCUCUGUUGAUUUUUGAAUUGAUAUGUGAUACCCACCUUAACUUCAGGUCUUGGAAAGAUACUAGAACUGACGGUAGAUACGGAUCCUAA
rnacentral:sRNA from 1 species